rnacentral:rRNA from 1 species
AUUGAACGCUGGCGGCAUGCCUAACACAUGCAAGUCGAACGAGUGGCGGACGGGUGAGUAAUGUCUGGGAAACUGCCCGAUGGAGGGGGAUAACUACUGGAAACGGUAGCUAAUACCGCAUACCAUCGGAUGUGCCCAUAUGGGAUUAGCUGGUUGGUGGGGUAACGGCUCACCUAGGCGACGCUCCCUAGCUGGGCGGAGAGGAUGACCCGCCACACUGGCACUGAGACACGGCCCAGACUCCUACGGGAGGCAGCAGUGGGGAAUAUUGCACAAUGGGCGCAAGUCUGACCCAGCCAUGCCGCGGGUAGGAAGAAGGGCUUCGGAUUGUAAAGUACUUUCGGCAGGGAAGCGUUACCUACAGAUGAAGCACCGGCUAACUCCGUGCCAGCAGCCGCGGUAAUUC